rnacentral:rRNA from 1 species
UACGGAGGGUGCAAGCGUUAUCCGGAUUCACUGGGUUUAAAGGGUGCGUAGGUGGGUUGAUAAGUCAGUGGUGAAAUCCCCGAGCUUAACUUGGGAACUGCCAUUGAUACUAUUGAUCUUGAAUACCGUGGAGGUCAGCGGAAUAUGUCAUGUAGCGGUGAAAUGCUUAGAUAUGACAUAGAACACCAAUUGCGAAGGCAGCUCGCUACACUAUUAUUGACGCUGAGGCACGAAAGCGUGGGGAUCAAACAGG